UGCCUGUUUCAUUACAUUGGUGUCAGAAGUGGGAUGUGGUCAACAAGGUGUUGGUCCCAUAUUUCAUGAGCUGAAAUAAAAGAUCAUAGAAAUGUUCCAUGCACACAAAAAGCUUUUCUCUCAGAUUCUGUGCACAAAUUUGUUUACGUUCCUGUUAGUGAGCAUUUCUCAUUUGCCUAGAUAAUCCUGACGGGUGUGGCAUAUCAAGAAACUGUGAUUGAACAGCAUGAUCAUUACACAGGUGCACCUUGUGCUGGGGACAAUAAAAGGCCACUCUUAAAUGUGCAGUUUUGUCACAGAACACAAUGACACAGAUGUCAAGAUUUGAGGGAGCAUGCAUUUGGCAUGCUGACUGCAGGAAUGUCCACCAGAGCUGUUGCCAGAGAAUGUAAUGUUCAUCUCUACCAUAAGCCGCCUCCAAUGUCGAUUUAGAGAAUUUGUCAGUACGUCAAACCGGCCUCACAACCACAGACCAUGUGUACCCAUGCCAGCCCAGGACAUCAACAUCUGGCUUCUUCACCUGUGGGAUCGUCUGAGACCAGCCACCCAGCUGAUGAAACUGUGGGUUUGCACAACAAAAUCAUUUCUGCAAAAACUGUCAAACCUUCUCCGGGAAGCUCAUCUGCGUGCUUGUCGUCAUCAACAGCAUCUUAACCUGACUGCAGUUCGGUGACAUAACCAUAACUGGCACGCUGGAGAAGUGUGCUCUUCAUGGAUGAAUCCCGGUUUCAACUGUACCGGGUAGAUGGCAGAAAGUGUGUAUGGUGUCGUGUGGGCGAGCAGUUUGCUGAUGUCAACGUUGUGAACAGAGUGCCUCAUGGUGCCGGUGGGGUUAUGGUAUGGGAAGGCAUAAGCUACGGACAAUGAACACAAUUGCAUUCUAUCAAUGGAAUUUGAAUACACAGAGAUACCGUGACGAGAUCCUGAGGCCCAUUGUUGUGCCAUUCAUCCGCCGCCAUCACCUCAUGUUUCAGCAUGAUAAUGCAUGGCCCCAUGUUGCAAGGAUCUGUACACAAUUCCUGGAAGCUGAAAAUGGCCCAGUUUUUCCAUUGCCUGCAUACUCACCAGACGUCACCCAUUGAGCAUGUUUGGGAUACUCUGGAUCGAAGUAAACGACAGCGUUCCAGUUCCCGCCAAUAUCCAGCAACUUCUCACAGUCAUUGAAGAGUGGUACAACAUUCCACAGGUCACAAUCAACAGUCUGAUCAACUAUAUGCGAAGGAGAUGAGGGAAAUGAUGGUCACACCAGAUACUGACUAGUUUUUGAUCCACGCCCGUACAUUUUUUAAAUUAUGGAACCAACAGAUCCAUUGUUGUGCCAUUCAUCCGCCGGGUUGGCGCCCCACCUUGGGUUGUGCCGUGGCGGAGAUCUUUGUGGGCUAUACUCGGCCUUGUCUCAGGAUGGACCUGAGCCCUAGGACCAUGCCUCAGGACUACCUGGCAUGAUGACUCCUUGCUGUCCCUAGUCCACCUGGCAGUGCUGCUGCUCCAGUUAACUGUUCUGCCUGCGGCUAUGGAACCCUGACCUGUUCACCGGAUGUGCUACCUGUCCCAGACCUGCUGUUUUCAACUCUCUAGAGACAGCAGGAGCGGUAGAGAUACUCUCAAUGAUCGGCUAUGAAAAAGCCAACUGACACUUACUCUUGAGUUGCUGACUUGUUGCACCCUCAACAACUACUGUGAUUAUUGUUAUUUGACCAUGCUGGUCAUUUAUGAACAUUUGAACAUUUUGGCCAUGUUCUGUUAUAAUCUCCACCCGACACAGCCAGAAGAGGACUGGCCACCCCUCAUAGCCUGGUUCCUCUCUAGGUUUCUUCCUAGGUUUUGGCCUUUCUAGGGAGUUUUUCCUAGCCACCGUGCUUCUACACCUGCAUUGCUUGCUGUUUGGGGUUUUAGGCUGGGUUUCUGUACAGCACUUUGAGAUAUCAGCUGAUGUAAAAUGGGCU
rnacentral:lncRNA from 1 species